UUACUCUACGGGAGGCCGCCGUAGGGACCUCCCCCAUGGGGGAAAGUCUGACGGAGCAACGCCGCGUGAGUGAUGGAGGGCCUCGGAUCGUAAAGCUCUGUUGUUAGGGAAGAACAAGUGCCGUUCAAAUAGGGCGGCACCUCCGGUACCUAACCAGAAAGCCCCGGUUAAUUACUUGCCACCGCCCCCGGUAUUA
rnacentral:rRNA from 1 species